AUUGAACGCUGGCGGCAUGCUUUACACAUGCAAGUCGAACGGUAACAGGCCGCAAGGUGCUGACGAGUGGCGAACGGGUGAGUAAUGCAUCGGAACGUGCCCAGUCGUGGGGGAUAACUGCUCGAAAGAGCAGCUAAUACCGCAUACGAUCUAUGGAUGAAAGCGGGGGACAGUAAGGCCUCGCGCGCUUGGACCGUCUGAUGUCAGAUUAGGUAGUUGGUGGGGUAAAGGCUCACCAAGCCAACGAUCUGUAGCUGGUCUGAGAGGACGACCAGUCACACUGGGACUGAGACACGGCCCAGACUCCUACGGGAGGCAGCAGUGGGGAAUUUUGGACAAUGGGGGCAACCCUGAUCCAGCAAUGCCGCGUGCAGGAAGAAGGCCUUCGGGUUGUAAACUGCUUUUGUACGGAACGAAACGGUCUGGGCUAAUACCCUGGGCUAAUGACGGUACCGUAAGAAUAAGCACCGGCUAACUACGUGCCAGCCGCCGCGGUAACAC
rnacentral:rRNA from 1 species